UACGUAGGGGGCGAGCGUUGUCCGGAUUCAUUGGGCGUAAAGAGCUCGUAGGCGGCUUGAUAAGUCGGGUGUGAAACCUCCAGGCUCAACCUGGAGUCGCCACUCGAUACUGUCAUGGCUAGAGUCCGGUAGGGGACCACGGAAUUCCUGGUGUAGCGGUGAAAUGCGCAGAUAUCAGGAGGAACACCAGUGGCGAAGGCGGCUAUCUGGACGGUUACUGACGCUAAGACGCGAAAGCGUGGGGAGCAAACAGG
rnacentral:rRNA from 1 species